GAUGAACGCUGGCGGCGUGCCUAAUACAUGCAAGUCGAGCGAACUUUUGGGAGCUUGCUUCCUAAAGUUAGCGCCGGACGGGUGAGUAACACGUGGGUAACCUGCCUCUAAGACUGGGAGAACAUCGGGAAACAGGAGCUAUUAUCGGAUAACAUUUAAGACCACAUGGCCUUCAAAUAAAAGAUGGGGUUUAGCUACCACUUACAGAUGGACCCGCGGCGCAUUAGCUAGUUGGUAAGGUAACGGCUUACCAAGGCGACGAUGCGUAGCCGACCUGAGAGGGGUGAUCGCCCACCCGGGACCGGGACCCCGCCCCGACUCCCUCGGGGGGCAACCGUAGGGGAUCUUCCGGCAUGGGCGGAAGUCUGACCGGGCAACGCCGCGUGGGCGAAGAAGGCCUUCGGGUCGUAAAGCUCUUUUGUUAGGGAAGAACAAGAAUCGUUCGAAUAGGGCGGUACCUUGACGGUACCUAACCAGAAAGCCACGGCUAACUACGUG
rnacentral:rRNA from 1 species